rnacentral:sRNA from 1 species
GCUGGGUGUGGUGGUGCACACCUGUAGUCCCAGCUACUUGGGAGGCUGAGGCAGAAGAAUCACUUGAACCCGGGAGACAGAGGUUGCAGUGAGCCAAGAUCACGCCACUGCACUCCAGCCUGGGUGACAGAGCAAGACUCUGUCUCAA